rnacentral:lncRNA from 7 species
CAGAAUAGUCUAGGCAGCAGAAUUGCAUUCAGCUAGAAGAGACUGAAGAAGUUUAACGUGUUAAAAAAUCAGGUGAUACACAGCCUAUUUUACAAAAUCAGUUUGUGAAACAGCUGAGAAACCAUUCAUGUUCCUUACCAGUGAGGAACACCUAGACAAAGAAAACAGAAACUCUACUUUUUGUCUUGCAUUGUAUUUAUCAAGUAAAAGUUCAGUGUAAAAUCAGCAUGAAGCCAUGCCAUUGAAGUGAAAAGAUUUGUGACACUUGGUCUGAGUUAGAGCAAAAAAUGUUCCCUUCUUCAGAGGUCUUUCAGGUGUUUUAUUACUGCCACAAGAAGAGUAAUAUUGGAAUGAGUUCCAGUUCCCUGAAAAUGAACAACUGAGGCUUUCAACAGGUGUCGUUUCCUCAGCUUCAAGAAUCCAAAAUUGACUCGGCACCACCUCUCUUGCUGUGAUCUUGCUCAACGUGAGGCAGGUCUCCUUUCGUCCUCAAGACUCAGGCAUCUCUGCCAAAGGAUCUGUCUUGUCUAUCAUAAAACCAAGUUGUCUGCACUGAGCUCCAGGACUGAGAGCUCAUCCCAGGAGCUUUGAGAGAGUUUCAGAUGUUUUGCUUCCAACAUACAGAGACUGUCACCUCUUAUCCUCCAAAAAAAAAAACCUGUCUACCUGUUUCUCUCAGGUUCCUCUUAUCACAGGAAAAUUCUUGAUAAUUCCCUGGAAAUUUCUUGCAGGAUUUUCAUACUUUGGAUCUUUAAUAAUUUUCUUAACUUGUCAUUUUAGGAUCCUACUUCAAAAUAGCUAUAUUCGUAUUAUCCCAUUGCCUUGCAUGAAGACCAAUUCCCUAUAGUGCUUGUAAACUUGGAAGUUUUUCAUUGGACAGUAAUAAACUUUGAU